GACGAAGGGGGCUAGCGUUGUUCGGAAUUACUGGGCGUAAAGCGCGUGUAGGCGGUUGCCCAAGUCGGGUGUGAAAGCCUUGAGCUCAACUCAAGAAAUGCACUCGGUACUGGGUGACUAGAGGACCGGAGAGGAUAGUGGAAUUCCCAGUGUAGUGGUGAAAUACGUAGAGAUUGGGAAGAACACCAGUGGCGAAGGCGGCUAUCCGGACGGUUUCUGACGCUAAGACGCGAAAGCGUGGGGAGCAAACAGG
rnacentral:rRNA from 1 species